rnacentral:rRNA from 1 species
GAUGAACGCUGGCGGCGUGCCUAAUACAUGCAAGUCGAGCGAACGGACGAGAAGCUUGCUUCUCUGAUGUUAGCGGCGGACGGGUGAGUAACACGUGGAUAACCUACCUAUAAGACUGGGAUAACUUCGGGAAACCGGAGCUAAUACCGGAUGAUAUUUUGAACCGCAUGGUUCAAAAGUGAAAGACGGUCUUGCUGUCACUUAUAGAUGGAUCCGCGCUGCAUUAGCUAGUUGGUAAGGUAACGGCUUACCAAGGCAACGAUGCAUAGCCGACCUGAGAGGGUGAUCGGCCACACUGGAACGGAGACACGGUCCAGACUCAUACGGGAGGCAACAGUAGGGAAUCUUCCGCAAUGGGCGAAAGCCUGACGGAGCAACGCGGCGUGAGGGAUGAAGGUCUUCGGAUCGUAAAACUCUGUUAUUGGGGAAGAACAUAUGUGUAAGUAACUGUGCACAUCUUGACGGUACCUAAUCAGAAAGCCACGGCUAACUACGUG